AGAACGAACGCUGGCGGCAGGCUUAACACAUGCAAGUCGAACGCCCCGCAAGGGGAGUGGCAGACGGGUGAGUAACGCGUGGGAAUCUACCCAGUUCUACGGAACAACUGAGGGAAACUUCAGCUAAUACCGUAUACGCCCUACGGGGGAAAGAUUUAUCGGAAUUGGAUGAGCCCGCGUAAGAUUAGCUAGUUGGUGAGGUAAUGGCUCACCAAGGCGACGAUCUUUAGCUGGUCUGAGAGGAUGAUCGACGACACUAGGCGACGUAGACGACGGACCCGACCGAACGUCCUACCGGAGGGCGACG
rnacentral:rRNA from 1 species